rnacentral:rRNA from 1 species
UGCGAUACCUAGUGUGAAUUGCAGAAUUCCGUGAAUCAUCGAGUUUUUGAACGCAAGUUGCGCCCGAGGCUCGUCUGAGGGCAUGCCUGCCUGAGCGUCCGCCCCGACCCAC